AUACGGAGGGUGCAAGCGUUACUAGGAAUCACUGGGCGUAAAGCGCGCGCAGGCGGUCUUUUAAGUUGGAUGUGAAAGCCUACGGCUCAACCGUAGAACUGCAUCCAAAACUAUUAGACUAGAGUGUGGGAGAGGAAGAUGGAAUUAGUUGUGUAGGGGUAAAAUCCGUAGAGAUAACUAGGAAUACCAAAAGCGAAGGCAAUCUUCUGGAACACUACUGACGCUGAGGCGCGAAAGCGUGGGGAGCAAACGGGAUUAGAAACCCUAGUAGUCC
rnacentral:rRNA from 1 species